rnacentral:misc_RNA from 1 species
GCCACUACCACCAGAUUCGUCUCGUGCAGCCCAUGCGGAUGCCUGCCUGGGAUGCUUUUCCUCUGGCAAUUUGGCUGCAAGUUUUCUACAAUAACGAAUUGCGUUUUGCAGGUUCUUUUGGGUGAUGGCUAAGGAGGCGAACCUAAGUCAGGAUGUUUUAGAAAAUGGAUUCUUAUUUGAAGAGUGCAUAAUCGCAUGGAUAAAAUUAUAGUAACCCGUCGAGUUGGGAUCUAAUUCGUUAUUUUCCUUGGAAACGUAUAUUUAUGGCGGCAAUUGGGGGUUGGCAGAUUCUUGCAUGGGCUUGAGUCUUGACACUGGAACGAUGACGUAUUAGGUAACCCUUUCGGUCCUUAUAAAGCACUAGCUGACUUCGACCAAAAAAACAAAAAAAAGGUACUGGCUGACCAAAGU